GAUGAACGCUGGCGGCGUGCCUAAUACAUGCAAGUCGAGCGAACGGACGAGAAGCUUGCUUUUCUGAUGUUAGCGGCGGGCGGGUGAGUAACACGUGGAUAACCUACCUAUAAGACUGGGAUAACUUCGGGAAACCGGAGCUUAUACCGGAUAAUAUUUCGAACCGCAUUGUUCAAAAGUGAAGGACGGUCUUGCUGUCACUUAUAGAUGGAUCCGCGCUGCAUUGGCUAGUUGGUAAGGUAACGGCUUACCAAGGCAACGAUGCAUAGCCGAACUGAGAGGGUGGUAGGCCACACGAGAGCUGAGACACGCUCCAUACGACUGCGGGAGGCAGCAGUAUGGUACCGUACGCAAUGGGCGGAAGCCUGACGGAAUAGCGCCGCGUGAGAUAUGAAAGUCUUCCGAUCGUAAAACCGUGUUAUUAGGGAAAAACAGAUUUCGAAUGAACCGAGCACAGCGUGACGGUACCUAAUCAGAAAGCCACGGCUAACUACGUG
rnacentral:rRNA from 1 species